UCCUGAUGGUUCUGCGGCUGGAAGCGUGAUGAGAGCCCCAGCUGGUCAGAGGGCUGUGCUGUGUGCCCCAGAGCUGCUGUCAGGGCUCGCUGGCACCACUCGUCAUUAGAGGAAGCUGGCUCUGCCACAGAAACGUCAGGGUCCGGCCGCGGGUGGAGCAAAGGGAUCCCGGGUGUGGGGAAAGGCUGUAAAAGUGACAAUGAAAGCUGUCCUAGCAGGAAAAUGUGAUGCAGAGGCAUCGCCCCGUCGUUGUGGGGUCUCUGUGUGGAACACCACGUGUCCUGCCCGCCUGUCCCUGCUGUGGGACAGGUUAUCUGCCAACAGCUUUCCUAAAGGCUGGAAUCAUGGAAUAUCCCGAGUUGGAAAGGACUCACAAGGACCUGACCUUGAACAGGACACCCCAACACUCCCACUGUGUCCCUGAGAGCGAUGUCCAAACACUUAAUAAACUCUGUCAGACUUGA